rnacentral:misc_RNA from 1 species
AAGUCGUAACAAGGUUUCCGUAGGUGAACCUGCGGAAGGAUCAUUGAGAAUUUGGAAGUGUUGGUCUUCUUGGUUGGAGGUGUUUCGGCACCAAAGGCUGGGGGGGCUUUCAUUUUGUUUUGUGAACUGUUUUUUGGGUUUUUGAUAAUUUUGGGUACUUUGUAUUAUUUUUUUUAAAAAGUUUCAUUUAUGACAACUUUCAGCAAUGGAUCUCUAGGCUCUU